GGACGACUGUUUGUGUGCUGCUCCGUGAUACGUGCUCCGUGUGAGCUGCUGUGGUCGUUGGCCGGUGGUGGAUGCUGGCGGCUGGAGUCCAAUCCUUCCUCCUCGUGAGUGUGUGUUCUGAGAAGACCACGGCGAAUAUCUCGGCUCAGAGAGAGAUCCAGAAAGAAAUUCAGAACCUGGAGAGUGUCCUCGGACCUCACAGUCUGUCCUGUGUGUCAGAUGAUGAAAGCAGCAGCACCAGUGAUGACGUGAGUGAGCCAGUCACUGAUAACAUUUGUUCCAGGAGGAUGAACAGUUAUUGGUCAC